rfam:Bordetella ansorpii strain H050680373 genome assembly, contig: ERS1093620SCcontig000003
GGGGCCGAUCCGGAUUCGACGUGGGUCGCGAAACAGUUCAGGGCAUGCCGAGCACCAGUACGCUCGUAAAACCACUGGAAACAAUCAAACGCCAACGACGAGCGUUUCGCUCUCGCCGCUUAAGCGGUGAGCCGCUGCACCGAUCUGUCCUUGGGUCGGGCGGAGGAAGGGCAACCUUCCUAAGGAUUUCUGUCUAGGGCCUAUAUCCCCCGAAGCAGUUUCUUCCUGAACCGCAGCAGUGUUAUUCACAAGGAAUCGGCUUGCGCUGGGGUCACACGGCGUAGGUUUAAAUUACGUGAAUCGCUCUGGUCCGGCCUGUCGGUUGGCUAAGUCCAGGGUUAAAACGAAAUAGGCCGACUACGCAUGUAGAACUGACUGCAGAGGGCUUGCGGACGCGGGUUCAAUUCCCGCCGGCUCCACCA